CAACGUGAGCAACCUGCCUUUCANAGGGGGAUAACAGUUGGAAACGACUGCUAAUACCGCAUAACACUGCGAUGGGGCAUCCCGAUGCAGCCAAAGGAGCAAUCCGCUGGAAGAUGGGCUCGCGGCCGAUUAGCUAGUUGGUGGGGCAACGGCCCACCAAGGCGACGAUCGGUAGCCGGACUGAGAGGUUGAUCGGCCACAUUGGGACUGAGACACGGCCCAGACUCCUACGGAAGGCAGCAG
rnacentral:rRNA from 1 species